AUUGAACGCUGGCGGCAUGCCUAACACAUGCAAGUCGAGCGGAUGAAGGGAGCUUGCGCCUGGAUGCAGUUGGGGACGGGCGGGUGAUUCAUAGGAAUCUGCCCGGCCGUGGGGGAUAACGUACGGUAGCGGGCGCGGAGACCGCAUAGGACCUGAGUUUGAACGGGGGGGUUCUUCGGAGCACACGGGUCCUGAUGAGCCUCGGUCGGAUUAGCUAGUUGGUGGGGUAACGGCCUACCAAGGCGACGAUCCGUAACAGGUCUGAGAGGAUGAUCAGUCACACUGGAACUGAGACACGGUCCAGACUCCUACGGGAGGCAGCAGUGGGGAAUAUUGGACAAUGGGCGAAAGCCUGACGCAGCAAUGCCGCGUGUGUGAAGAAGGUCUUCGGAUUGUAAAGCACUUUUAGUUGGGAGGAAGGUAUGUAAGUUAAACCCUGGCUAUCUUGACGUUACCAAAAGAAUAAGCCCCGGCUAACUUCGUG
rnacentral:rRNA from 1 species